rnacentral:rRNA from 1 species
GAUGAACGCUAGCUACAGGCUUAACACACGCAAGUCGAGGGGUAACGAGAGGAAAGCUUGCUUUCCUUGUCGACGACCGGCGCACGGGUGAGUAACGCGUAUCCAACCUGCCCCCAACUAGGGAAUAACCUUGCGAAAGUAAGACUUAUACCCUAUAAUUUCCUCAGAUGCCAUCUGACGAGGAAUAAAGAUUUAUCGGUUGUGGAUGGGGAUGCGUCUGAUUAGCUUGUUGGCGGGGUAACGGCCCACCAAGGCAACGAUCAGUAGGGGUUCUGAGAGGAAGGUCCCCCACAUUGGAACUGAGACACGGUCCAAACUCCUACGGGAGGCAGCAGUGAGGAAUAUUGGUCAAUGGGCGGAAGCCUGAACCAGCCAAGUAGCGUGCAGGAUGACGGCCCUAUGGGUUGUAAACUGCUUUUAUACAGGAAUAAAGUUAGCCACGUGUGGUUAUUUGUAGGUACUGUAUGAAUAAGGACCGGCUAAUUCCGUGCCAGCCGCCGCGGUAA